UAUAUAUUAAUGUAUUAUGCAUAAAAAUUUUUGAUAUUUUUUGAAUAAGUUUAAUUCUUAUAUAUAUAU
rnacentral:tRNA from 1 species